AAAGUGCUACCUCUGUUCUAUAAUUCUUGUCGAAAUAUUACAUGUAUCUAGAUGCUUUUUAUGAUAGAUACAUUCAUUUUUGAACAAAUUUAAGACAAGAAUUAUGGAACGGAGGAAGUAUUAA
rnacentral:pre_miRNA from 1 species